rnacentral:rRNA from 1 species
GACGAACGCUGGCGGCGUGCUUAACACAUGCAAGUCGAACGAUGAAGCUGGAGCUUGCUCCGGUGGAUUAGUGGCGAACGGGUGAGUAACACGUGAGCAAUCUGCCCUUGACUCUGGGAUAACUGCGGGAAACUGUAGCUAAUACCGGAUAUGAGGCUUGGAGGCAUCUCCAGGUCUGGAAAGAAUUUCGGUCAAGGAUGAGCUCGCGGCCUAUCAGCUAGUUGGUGAGGUAAUGGCUCACCAAGGCGACGACGGGUAGCCGGCCUGAGAGGGUGACCGGCCACACUGGGACCGAGACACGGCCCAGACUCCUACGGGAGGCAGCAGUGGGGAAUAUUGCACAAUGGGCGAAAGCCUGGUGCAGCAACGCCGCGUGAGGGAUGAAGGCCUUCGGGUUGUAAACCUCUUUUAGCAGGGAAGAAGCGAAAGUGACGGUACCUGCAGAAAAAGCACCUGCUAACUACGUGCCAGCCGCCGCGGUAA